CUUUUGUGCAGGCAUCUCGCUGUCUGCGCUGGGCACGGAGCGGCGCGCGCGCGCCCGUCUUUCCCUCGGCGGCCCCCGCGGCUCGGACCCGGGCCGGCAGACAGGCCAUCCAUCAUCCGCCCUCCUCCCGCGGAGCGCCGCAGCCGCCGCGGCCAAUCCGGCGGCAGGUGGGGCCGCACCUGCGCGACAGCCCGCCGCUUCCCUCCGCUCCCUUCGCCGCGCCUCGCGUGCUAGCGGUGCCCUUGUGAGCCACUGCGUUCUCCAAGGCCAGAACGGGACAGUUGACGAUGGUCGUACUUCUCCAUGUUCUGAGACCAGUUUAAACAAAAACAAAAACCAGACAACAACCUUGCAAGGGAAAGAAUUCAGAGUAAAUAAACAGUCUUUUUCUGGGAAGUAAAAUAUUUCCCUAAGAUGGAGAAAUUGAGAUGAGAGCUCAUCCACAAGAUUACCCAUCAAUGAGCACCAAUAGCAACCAAAUCCACUAGAAGACUGGGAGCUUUUAAGUCAAGAAACUUACAUCAGUAUCAUCAUUCCAAGAAGCGGUAUCCAAGCUGUUUUAUCGAAAGUGCGCAUGGGAGGGAUCUCAUCAGAGAGAGAGACAUCUUCGCCACUGCCAUGAAGUUUCAAGUACAGAACUCUUCCUCGUAAUCAAACUAUUUCUAUGAACAAUUCACUCAUCAUUGUGGGAAAGUCUAUUUUUCAUCUUAACACACAAACAGACAAUAACAAAAUUUGUGAUUUGGAUAAUCUGGAUCUGAUGUUCAUGCUCAAAAUGGAGGCAAUUCGUAAUACUGGUCUGAAGCAUUUAGUCAUUCACUGAGCAGAUACGUUAGGAGCAACAGGCAUGGGCUGUGUUUUUCUAGGCACUGUGAACACAGCAGUCAACGAAGUCAAAAACCUGUGCUCUUAAGGGACAUGAAUUGCCAAAUGGAAACACUAAGUUUUUCUAUUUAUGACCUAAAGCUAGUCAAAUAUCUCCAGAAGUAAGGUAGCUGAGUGAAGUGGUUCAUAAUCUUUCCAUGGGAGCCAAAUCCUCGGUGCUGUGACUCUUUUAGAUAAAUGAUAGUAAAAAUGAAUCAAAAGUUAAUUAGCUUGCACCUCAAUAAUCCAGUCUCCAUCACUGAUGGUCAUCGUGGAAUCUGCGUACAGAGGCAGCUGUAUACAGAUGACAGAGACAGCUCUAACACGUGACACAUUUAAGCACACAGAGGCGGAAGGACAUAAAGUUCCUGGUUGAUUUCCCUUUGGUGUUUGUGGGGAAAUAUCAAGGUCAUAAAAAGUCAGUUUCUAAUAAUCCCUCCAGUCCUCCAUUCCAUUCCCUAAUUUGUAUGCAAUGGCAUUUAACAUUUUGACUUUGCUUAAAAUAAAAUGUGUGUUUGUUUUAAAAUAAA
rnacentral:lncRNA from 1 species